GAGUGACAGAGAAGACUGGCAGCUGCAGAGCAGGACAGACCAGAUUGGCCAGUACAACAGCAGAGGGCCAUGUUGGGCUUUGACUCAGGAAUCCUGGUGGAGGCAAUGAUGAGAGAGAAGAGAUAAAACACACUAGGUAAGCCAAGGUAGUUGUCAGGAUAGAAGGAGACAGGCAGGCCAGAUGGCUGUUAACCGUGUGGUGUGUCCCAACUUUCCAGCAUCAAUUUAAUGGCCAAAUUAAAAUCAGCAGAGCCAAGUGUUAGAGUUAUUGCUGCCUGAGUUAUAACAGCUGCCCUGGGAAUCUUGUCUGAACAACAAGUUAACUGCUGUUCCCAGUUAUAUCUGGUCUUUCCCACCCCCAAACAUACACAAAAGAUUUUUGUCAUUCUUGGCACUGGACAACAGAAGUGAUAAGACAUGCCAGCAGAACUCUAAAGGCAGAAUGUCCUUCCACCUGUUUUAUGCUGUAAGACAAACUUCCAAGUGCGAGGCAGUGUGGAGGGCUGUUGCCUUGAAUGGCAGCUGAAUGCACCAGCGGGAUCCUUGGCAGCAAUGCCCAGGCACUGAAGUCGGGCAUUCAGGAGAGCUAAAUGGAGAAAAGAAACUUGAGCAAACUGCUUCCUGGAACACUGAGAACCUGAAUGGGAAAUUAAGAAGAACCAGAUUCUUUCUAUUCUUCCACCAGCCAAGGUGAUGAGCACAAAAGGAUCCAUCUUAUACAGUGCUUGCCAGCUUCCAUAAUACUACUCACCACGAUGUUGAAAUCACCUGUUCCAGAACCAGUCCUGUCCUUUGACAAGAAGGAUUUAAUUAUCAGUAGUGGUGGGGACUGGCUGGAGAGAGGAAAAACACUUCAAGGACUCUGCCACCUUUCGUAGAUGGAGAGUGCAAAGUUUGUACCAUGGAACUCCUUCUCUAACAGUUACUCUGUGGCAGUGCCUAUUUCAAACCUCCCUUAACUUCUGAUUGUAUAGAUGUUUGUUUCAUUUGUUCAUCUGUUUGUUCACUUAGUCAGAGAUGUUUUAAGCCUUAAGAGAAAUAGUGGACUAGAAAAUGCCUUGGAAAAGUACAAAGUUCAAUCCAAGUAAACUGUUUUUAAACUAGGAAUUUAUGAAGCCUAAAAUAUAAAAUGUAUAUACAUGGAUAUGCUCUGAAGUGAGGUAGAGGGGUAGAAAUCAACAUUGUGAUAUUGUACUAUAGUUUUGCAAGAUGUUACCAUUGGGGGAAAAUGUUUGAAGGGUAUACGGGAUAUCUCUGCCUUAUUUCUUACAACUGCAUGUGAAUCUACAGUUAUCUCAAAAUAAAAAUUUAAUUAACAAUUGAUUACAAUUAACAGCAUUAAUUUCUUAUCCUGUCAUUUUCCUUCUCCUGAAAUUGCAGAAUAGCCAAACAGAAACCUACCCAUGACCACCAUCUGAGAUUCUUUGGUGCCCGUAUUAGUGGACAUAGGCAGGUGUAUCA
rnacentral:lncRNA from 1 species